GCGAGCGUUAAUCGGAAUUACUGGGCGUAAAGCGCAUGCAGGUGGUUUGUUAAGUCAGAUGUGAAAGCCCGGGGCUCAACCUCGGAAUUGCAUUUGAAACUGGCAGACUAGAGUACUGUAGAGGGGGGUAGAAUUUCAGGUGUAGCGGUGAAAUGCGUAGAGAUCUGAAGGAAUACCGGUGGCGAAGGCGGCCCCCUGGACAGAUACUGACACUCAGAUGCGAAAGCGUGGGGAGCAAACAGGAUUAGAUACCCUGGUAGUCCACGCCGUAAACGAUGUCUACUUGGAGGUUGUGGCCUUGAGCCGUGGCUUUCGGAGCUAACGCGUUAAGUAGACCGCCUGGGGAGUACGGUCGCAAGAUUAAAACUCAAAUGAAUUGACGGGGGCCCGCACAAGCGGUGGAGCAUGUGGUUUAAUUCGAUGCAACGCGAAGAACCUUACCUACUCUUGACAUCCAGAGAACUUUCCAGAGAUGGAUUGGUGCCUUCGGGAACUCUGAGACAGGUGCUGCAUGGCUGUCGUCAGCUCGUGUUGUGAAAUGUUGGGUUAAGUCCCGCAACGAGCGCAACCCUUAUCCUUGUUUGCCAGCGAGUAAUGUCGGGAACUCCAGGGAGACUGCCGGUGAUAAACCGGAGGAAGGUGGGGACGACGUCAAGUCAUCAUGGCCCUUACGAGUAGGGCUACACACGUGCUACAAUGGCGCAUACAGAGGGCGGCCAACUUGCGAAAGUGAGCGAAUCCCAAAAAGUGCGUCGUAGUCCGGAUUGGAGUCUGCAACUCGACUCCAUGAAGUCGGAAUCGCUAGUAAUCGUGGAUCAGAAUGCCACGGUGAAUACGUUCCCGGGCCUUGUACACACCGCCCGUCACACCAUGGGAGUGGGCUGCAAAAGAAGUAGGUAGUUUAACCUUCGGGGGGACGCUUACCACUUUGUGGUUCAUGACUGGGGUGAAGUCGUAACAAGGUAGCGCUAGGGGAACCUGGCGCUGGAUCACC
rnacentral:rRNA from 1 species